rnacentral:pre_miRNA from 1 species
AGUGGGAUUGCUGGGUAAUAUGGUAACUAUACUUUUAUCUUUAUAAGAAAUCGCCAAAUUUAUUUCCAAAGUAUUUGUACCAUUUUGCAUUCCCACCAGCAAU